AAGUCGUAACAAGGUCUCCGUUGGUGAACCAGCGGAGGGAUCAUUACCGAGUUUACAACUCCCAAACCCCUGUGAACAUACCACUUGUUGCCUCGGCGGAUCAGCCCGCUCCCGGUAAAACGGGACGGCCCGCCAGAGGACCCCUAAACUCUGUUUCUAUAUGUAACUUCUGAGUAAAACCAUAAAUAAAUCAAAACUUUCAACAACGGAUCUCUUGGUUCUGGCAUCGAUGAAGAACGCAGCAAAAUGCGAUAAGUAAUGUGAAUUGCAGAAUUCAGUGAAUCAUCGAAUCUUUGAACGCACAUUGCGCCCGCCAGUAUUCUGGCGGGCAUGCCUGUUCGAGCGUCAUUUCAACCCUCAAGCACAGCUUGGUGUUGGGACUCGCGUUAAUUCGCGUUCCCCAAAUUGAUUGGCGGUCACGUCGAGCUUCCAUAGCGUAGUAGUAAAACCCUCGUUACUGGUAAUCGUCGCGGCCACGCCGUUAAACCCCAACUUCUGAAUGUUGACCUCGGAUCAGGUAGGAAUACCCGCUGAACUUAAGCAUAU
rnacentral:rRNA from 1 species